rnacentral:rRNA from 1 species
AGAACGAACGCUGGCGGCAGGCUUAACACAUGCAAGUCGAGCGCCCCGCAAGGGGAGCGGCAGACGGGUGAGUAACGCGUGGGAAUCUACCCAAUCCUUCGGAAUAGCUCCGGGAAACUGGAAUUAAUACCGAGUACGCCCUACGGGGGAAAGAUUUAUCGGGGUUGGAUGAGCCCGCGUUGGAUUAGCUAGUUGGUGGGGUAAUGGCCUACCAAGGCGACGAUCCAUAGCUGGUCUGAGAGGAUGAUCAGCCACACUGGGACUGAGACACGGCCCAGACUCCUACGGGAGGCAGCAGUGGGGAAUAUUGGACAAUGGGCGCAAGCCUGAUCCAGCCAUGCCGCGUGAGUGAUGAAGGCCCUAGGGUUGUAAAGCUCUUUCAGUGGGGAAGAUAAUGACGGUACCACAGAAGAAGCCCGGCUAACUUCGUGCCAGCAGCCGC